CAAUUUUCGCUUGACGUGUUCUUUGUCGAGCUGCUGCAGAAACGACUGCAGGAAGAAGAAGAAAUCCGUGCUGCUCCGGAGCGUCAGUUUACGCUGGACGCAUUUUUUGAGGAGCUGCUGCAGAGACGUCUGCAGUGAGAAUUGGAAAUCCACACUGCUAGGGUUAUUCCAGUGGCCUCCCCGCCAACCACUGAGGCUCAACACUCUUCAUAGCCACCAAAUCAUAUGCUGCCUGUUGGGGGCGCCGCCGUCAACUCGGCGCCAGG